rnacentral:sRNA from 1 species
GCCUUGCGCUUCCUAGGCAAGCGCUCUACCACUGAGCUAAAUCCCCAACCCUGUUUGAGUAGCUUCUUAAUCCAGCUGCAUGAUGUUUUUAUUUGUAGGUUUAUUACAAUAAAGUGACUUAUUUUUAAAAAUGUACUUGACACAAGAAUUUUCCCUGUAUUUUACCAAGUAAUUAAUUUUAAUAUGCUAUAUAAUUUAACUAUUCACUUCUCCUUGGAUAAUUGAUGUGCUCUAUCUCUCUUGGGUAUGUGAUUUCUCUCCUUCACAUGUAAUGUGUAUUAUUCUGUAUAGAAUAUCUUAUCUAUAAAUCUUUAAGCACGUCUCUGAUUGUUUCUUUAAAUUCUGGAAUAUACCUAGCCAAUAUAGAACAUAUCUCUUUAAGAUGUUGUGAUGUUUAUCUCUUUACGGGGAGAUGUUACCGUGUGUUCUGAGUCAUUAGUUUAUGAGUUUCACUCUUUUCUUACCUUUGCUAAUCUGAAAGAUAAAAAUUGUAUUUUGUUUUAUUUUGUAUUUUUGAUUAAAUAAUUGAGGAAGAUAUAUAGUUUCUGACUUUUAAAUGAAAUGGAUGGGAAAGCAGUGCUGUAGGUACAGUGCUGCAGGUACAGUGCUGCAGUGCUGUAGGUACAGUGCUGCAGUGCUGUAGGUACAGUGCUGUAGGUGCAGUGCUGUAGAUGCAGUGCUGCAGUGCUGUAGGCGCAGUGCUGUAGGUACAGUGCUGUAGGCACAUUGCUGCAGUGCUGUAGGUACAGUGCUGUAGGUACCAUGCUGCAGUGCUGUAGGUACAGUGCUGUAGGUGCAGUGCUGCAGUGCUGUAGGUACAGUGCUGUAGGUGCAGUGCUGCAGUGCUGUAGGUACAGUGCUGUAGGUACAGUGCUGUAGGUGCAGUGCUGCAGUGCUGUAGGCGCAGUGCUGUAGGCACAGUGCUGUAGGUGCAGUGCUGUAGGCGCAGUGCUGCAGGUACAGUGCUGUAGGCGCAGUGCUGUAGGUACAGUGCUGCAGUGCUGUAGGCCAGUGCAUCUUUAUUCAGCACAGGCAUGAGAAGGGGUUGCUUAUAAAUGGCUACAAGAGAAUAUGCUUUCAAACUUUGCAGUCCCAAAAGCCGGGGGGCAAACUUUACUUGUUCUGUGACUACCUCAAUCUCACCAGUUUUAAGCGGGAUAUUAACAUUUGAAUCCAGCGUUCCAGAACCUAAAUCUACCAGUUCUUUGAAAA